rnacentral:pre_miRNA from 1 species
CAUCUACUCCCUCCGUUCCGAAUUACUUGUCUUGGAUUUGUCUAGAUACGGAUGUAUCUAGACUCAUUUUAGUGCUAGAUACCUUCGUAUCUAGACAAAUCCAAGACAAGUAAUUCAGAACGGAGGGAGUAUUUC